CAAAAUCCUUCAUUCCUAAGAAAAUAAAGAAACUUUAGAAAAAAGGUCUCCCACGCUCCUUCAACCCCAAAGGGUAAGACUAGGUCUGAUUUGUGCAAUGAGCGGACAGAUUUUGUUAAGGCAAAACUUGAAAGUAAAGACAACUUUUGUAUGGCGUGUGUCCCUCCGUCCCCUGCAUCAGCAACGAGAAUCGCCUGCCACAUUGCCCCGGCUGGGGGUCGGGAAGAGGCAUGAGGAGCGUCAGUGCAAUGCAAGCUUGGGUGCUUUGCGGCUGGAGAGCUGGCGCUGCAGCUACGCGGGCAGCAAUCCUCCAGCCCGGCUCUCCGGGCUGCAAUGAGCAGCCGACGCAGCGUGAAUGCUUUCACUCCCAGGCGACAGCUAACUCCCCCUUACACGCAAACACAGCGGCGCAACCAGAGCGACAGAGGAGCCGGGGAGGCUGGGGAACGCGGUGCGGCUGCUACUCUCAGAGAGGAGCUGGAUUUGCAGAGCAGACGGGACGGCAUGAAAAUUCUAUGAAUUGACCUCUGUGAAGGACACAAAGACCAGGAGAGCGUCUGAAAGGUUCUCUCUUUGUUAUUUUGAAGUUUCAUUCAAAUCCUAUUGAAGAACAAAUUAUCUUCCUUUACAUAGAGUUAAAGGACAGAGGCAUCAUAUGAACCAUGAGGCUAUACCCUGUUAAAUCCUUGCUUUUGCAAAUUCAUGGCAGAGAGUCACCAGUUUCCCCAUAAACACCUGCCAGAGCAACUCUGGAUCUGGAGGUUUGGGGAUAAUGAACUCUGACAUCUUUGACUAGUGGCUCUUGAGGAGAUGAAUAACAACAAAUAUGGCAGAAGAUGGAGAAAGCAGCCUGCAGAAUAAGAGCCCCCAAAGGAAUAUUCGGCAGGAUGUGGUGCAAACUUCACUGUGCUUUUGGACUUUCCACACAGGUGAGAUUGUGAGAAGUGAAAUUAUGUAUUACAGAGCUGAAACUUCUCGUAUAUUUUGAGGGCUACAAUGUAUGCACAAUAUUACCACAAAUCUCUAAAAUGUUGUUAAUGAAUAGAUUUGAAGAAAUAACAUUUAGUAAAUUACUAAAGAUCAUCAGAUAACAUGUGAGAGCAAGUGGAGCA